rfam:Daphnia magna strain Xinb3 scaffold01581, whole genome shotgun sequence.
CCAACGGCCCUUUUUAGGGCCACCACAAGUUACUGAAUUGACGGUCU